rnacentral:rRNA from 4 species
GAAGAGAGCUUGCUCUCUGAUUCAGCGGCGGACGGGUGAGUAAUGCCUAGGAAUCUGCCUGGUAGUGGGGGACAACGUUUCGAAAGGAACGCUAAUACCGCAUACGUCCUACGGGAGAAAGCAGGGGACCUUCGGGCCUUGCGCUAUCAGAUGAGCCUAGGUCGGAUUAGCUAGUUGGUGAGGUAAUGGCUCACCAAGGCGACGAUCCGUAACUGGUCUGAGAGGAUGAUCAGUCACACUGGAACUGAGACACGGUCCAGACUCCUACGGGAGGCAGCAGUGGGGAAUAUUGGACAAUGGGCGAAAGCCUGAUCCAGCCAUGCCGCGUGUGUGAAGAAGGUCUUCGGAUUGUAAAGCACUUUAAGUUGGGAGGAAGGGCAGUAAGUUAAUACCUUGCUGUUUUGACGUUACCGACAGAAUAAGCACCGGCUAACUCUGUGCCAGCAGCCGCGGUAAUACAGAGGGUGCAAGCGUUAAUCGGAAUUACUGGGCGUAAAGCGCGCGUAGGUGGUUUGUUAAGUUGGAUGUGAAAG